rnacentral:misc_RNA from 1 species
AGAUGAAGAAAAUGGUAAAGGCGGAAACGAAGAAGAAAGCAAAAUGUUUCAUGGAUGUGGAUAAGAAGAAGAAUAUGCAAAGAUUAGGAGGAGGAGGCUUAUCAUUGGAAGCAUUUGCAAACGCCAAAACCAAGACCAACACUUACAACCCUGCCAUUAUAAAGAAGCAAAGGGAGUUUUAUAAGAACGCUAAAUAUGUGAAUAAAUAUAAGAGGAUAGUUAAGCAGCAACAAGGAGAGCCUUCUGGUUCUGCAAGACAACUAGAGGUUAGUCAUUUAUCCUCUUAUUGUAAUUGUGGAAUCAAGUAACAAUCCAGAACGUGUCAAUUGCAACUAGAAAAGUGAGGUAAGGUACGUGUUCAUUCUAAUUCCAAUUGGUAUAUCAGGAUGAAGAAGUAGAUAUUAGGAGAAAUAAGAAGAAUAGUGCUAGAAGCCUAAGAGAAAUAUAUGAGAGAAAACGCGAGGAGGAUGACAAGGCAAGGAUGGAGACGGAGGCCACUAUUCUAGCAAGGAAAGAAGAAAUGCAGAGAGCUGAAUCUCGAAGGAAAGAACUAAGGGAGAAAAUGUUCAAGAAAACUAAAUCAGGCCAACCAGUCAUGAAGUACAGAAUAGAACAUAUUUUGGAAACACUUCAAGGAUCAAAAGUAUAAGUAAUUGCAAAAGACAAAAGUCUGGAUGUAAGAGUUAUGCUUCAAGUUUCUAUAUCAAAGAAAAAACCAUCAUCUUGUCCGAUUAAUAUUACUUGACUCACUAUGUCUUUUGAACUUGAUGUCUUUUAUUCUUGCACAUCUUUACUUAUUCUAUCAUUUGAUUUCUUAGAUAGGAAUAGGAGUACCAGUAGUAUUUAAAGUCUUGAAUUCUCAUUAAUUUUGUAAAGGUGAAAUCAGAAUUUAAUUUUGAUGAAUGAAUCCUUCCAUAGAACUCAUCACUUGAUUAUGA